UACGUAGGGGGCAAGCGUUGUCCGGAAUCAUUGGGCGUAAAGCGCGUGUAGGCGGCUUGGUAAGUCCGCUCUGAAAGCCCGGGGCUCAACCCCCGGGAGGCGGGUGGAUACUGUCAAGCUCGAGUCCGGAAGAGGCGAGUGGAAUUCCUGGUGUAGCGGUGAAAUGCGCAGAUAUCAGGAGGAACACCAAUGGCGAAGGCAGCUCGCUGGGACGUGACUGACGCUGAGACGCGAAAGCGUGGGGAGCAAACAGG
rnacentral:rRNA from 1 species